rnacentral:rRNA from 1 species
ACUGAACGCUGGCGGCAGGCCUAACACAUGCAAGUCGAACGGUAACAGGAAGCAGCUUGCUGCUUCGCUGACGAGUGGCGGACGGGUGAGUAAUGUCUGGGAAACUGCCUGAUGGAGGGGGAUAACUACUGGAAACGGUAGCUAAUACCGCAUAACGUCGCAAGACCAAAGAGGGGGACCUUAGGGCCUCUUGCCAUCGGAUGUGCCCAGAUGGGAUUAGCUAGUAGGUGGGGUAACGGCUCACCUAGGCGACGAUCCCUAGCUGGUCUGAGAGGAUGACCAGCCACACUGGAACUGAGACACGGUCCAGACUCCUACGGGAGGCAGCAGUGGGGAAUAUUGCACAAUGGGCGCAAGCCUGGUGCAGCCAUGCCGCGUGUAUGAAGAAGGCCUUCGGGUUGUAAAGUACUUUCAGCGGGGAGGAAGGGAGUAAAGUUAAUACCUUUGCUCAUUGACGUUACCCGCAGAAGAAGCACCGGCUAACUCCGUG